UUUAGGGUAUGAAAAUCAAUGGUAACUUUUGCCCUAAAAGAUAAGAUACUUAAGAUCCCAUCUAGCGGUAGAAAAAUGAAUUACUUUGAGGGAUGAAAUUAGAAAAUUUUAAGGCCAAGGCUGUCACUAUCAGACAGACUUCAGACUUCAGAUUCAGGAGUCCUGAAUUUAUUGUUAUCACAUUGCGUGUGAUCUAGUGUUUGCAAAUUCAUCCCAAGAAAUUCAGCAAUUUGGCUAUUAUUGGUAUUCGUUUUAUACUGAUACUGUAUAAUCUAUAUACAGCAGUGUUUGUUAUGUUAUCUCCCUGUCGCUGACUUGCUGUUGGAACUUGGAAUAGUGAAUUAUCACUAUCAGGGCAUUGUGAACCUCAGUAGCCAUCCUAAGAUCCUAUAGGUCCUACAAGUCAUAUACUGCCAUAGCCAUGGCAUCCAGAGGAAACAGGGCAGUAGGAAGAACACGGGGAUCGACAGCUUCAAGAGGUCGAGUCAGAAUCUCUGUGGA